rnacentral:rRNA from 1 species
GACGAACGCUGGCGGCGUGCUUAACACAUGCAAGUCGUACGGUAAGGCCCUUUCGGGGGUACACGAGUGGCGAACGGGUGCGUAACACGUGAGUAACCUGCCCACAACUUUGGGAUAACGCUAGGAAACUGGUGCUAAUACUGGAUAUGUGCUCCUGCUGCAUGGUGGGGGUUGGAAAGCUCCGGCGGUUGUGGAUGGACUCGCGGCCUAUCAGCUUGUUGGUGGGGUAGUGGCCUACCAAGGCGGCGACGGGUAGCCGGCCUGAGAGGGUGACCGGCCACAUUGGGACUGAGAGACGGCCCAGACACCUACGGGAGGCAGCAGGGGGGAAGAUUGCACGAGGGGCGCAAGCCGGAUGCAGCAACGCCGCGGGCGGGAUGACGGCCUUCGGGUUGUAAACCGCUUUCAGCAGGGACGAAGCUUUUUGUGACGGUACCUGCAGAAGAAGCACCGGCUAACUACGUG